AUUGAACGCUGGCGGCAGGCCUAACACAUGCAAGUCGAACGAGUGGCGGACGGGUGAGUAAUGCCUAGGAAUCUGCCUGGUAUUGGGGGAUAACGUCCGGAAACGGGCGCUAAUACCGCAUACUAUCAGAUGUGCCCAGAUGGGAUUAGCUUGUAGGUGAGGUAACGGCUCACCUAGGCGACGAUCCCUAGCUGGUCUGAAAGGAUGACCAGAGACACUGGAACAGGGACACGGUCCAGAAUCCUACGGAGGGAAGAAGUGGGGAAUAUUGUACACUGGGCGCAAGCCUGAUGCAGCCAGGCCGCGAGUAUGAAGAAGGCCUCCGGGGUGUACAGUACUUUCAGCGGGGAGGCGUUACCCGCAGAAGAAGCACCGGCAAAAUCCGUGCUAGCAGACGCGGUAAUUC
rnacentral:rRNA from 1 species